ACUGGGGUUACAGACGGGUGUGGCCAUACCCAGGUGUUUCUAUGUGGGUUCUGCGGAUUCGAACUCAGGCAGUUUCGGGCUUCCUCAGACCAUCAUACUCCCAGACCUGAGAAGGAGUUAACUGAGCAGAGAUACCUGAGCCAAACUUUAGAUCCGCAGCUGAAACCAAGCGGCGCCAGCCAGCCCAGUCAGAAGCGAGGCAUGAUGACACUUGUAUACCACCGAGAUGUGAGCUUGUUCCACAUCAAAAGCUGACCAAUCCACAGCCAGCUGCUCACGGGACCGUGUUUUAUACUACACACCCCUAAAGGAUUGUCAACGUUGGCGCCAGCUUUCUGGUUAAAGUUGUCCUCCUAUCUUAUGUUGUCACAUAGCAGACCUUGGAGGUCCCCGUGCCGCCUAAAGUCACCGCCGUCAUGAAAACAGUGGCAGCGUCCUGUGCAUCUUAUGUUCAAGUAUAUCUCCAGUGACUUCACUGAUUGUUUUCAGAUGGAAAACCAACCCGACAUCCCUGG